ensembl:snRNA U6 U6 spliceosomal RNA
GUGCUCGCUUCGGCAGCACAUACACUAAAAUCGGAAUGAUGUGGAGAAAGAUUAGCAUGGCCCCUGUGCAGAGGUAACCUGUAAAUUUGUGACACGUUCUCUAUUUUA